rnacentral:piRNA from 1 species
UNUCAAGCAUCCACCAAUUGCCACGUCCUG